GGUUAAGUUAGAAAGGGCGCACGGUGGAUGCCUUGGCACUAGGAGCCGAAGAAGGACGGGACUAACACCGAUAUGCUUUGGGGAGCUGUACGUAAGCGUUGAUCCAGAGAUUUCCGAAUGGGGGAACCCACUAUCUUUAGUCGGAUAGUAUCCUUACGUGAAUACAUAGCGUGAGGAAGGCAGACCCAGGGAACUGAAACAUCUAAGUACCUGGAGGAAGAGAAAGAAAAAUCGAUUUCCUGAGUAGCGGCGAGCGAAACGGAAAGAGCCCAAACCAAGAAGCUUGCUUCUUGGGGUUGUAGGACACUCUAUACGGAGUUACAAAAGAAAGUUAUAAAUGAAGCGGUCUGGAAAGGCCCGCCAAAGACGGUAACAGCCCGGUAGUUGAAAUGGCUUUCCCUCCAGAGUGGAUCCUGAGUACGGCGGAACACGUGAAAUUCCGUCGGAAUCCGGGAGGACCAUCUCCCAAGGCUAAAUACUCCCUAGUGACCGAUAGUGAACCAGUACCGUGAGGGAAAGGUGAAAAGCACCCCGGAAGGGGAGUGAAACAGUUCCUGAAACCGUGUGCCUACAAGUAGUUAGAGCCCGUUAAUGGGUGAUAGCGUGCCUUUUGUAGAAUGAACCGGCGAGUUACGAUUUGUUGCAAGGUUAAGCGGAAAAAGCGGAGCCGUAGCGAAAGCGAGUCUGAAUAGGGCGCAUAAGUAACAGGUCGUAGACCCGAAACCAGGUGAUCUACCCAUGUCCAGGAUGAAGGUAAGGUAAUACUUACUGGAGGUCCGAACCCACGCACGUUGAAAAGUGCGGGGAUGAGGUGUGGGUAGCGGAGAAAUUCCAAUCGAACUUGGAGAUAGCUGGUUCUCUCCGAAAUAGCUUUAGGGCUAGCCUCGAGGUAAAGAGUCAUGGAGGUAGAGCACUGUUUGGACUAGGGGCCCUUCUCGGGUUACCGAAUUCAGAUAAACUCCGAAUGCCAUGUACUUAUACUCGGGAGUCAGACUGCGAGUGAUAAGAUCCGUAGUCGAAAGGGAAACAGCCCAGACCACCAGUUAAGGUCCCCAAAUAUAUGUUAAGUGGAAAAGGAUGUGGGGUUGCUUAGACAACCAGGAUGUUGGCUUAGAAGCAGCCACCAUUGAAAGAGUGCGUAAUAGCUCACUGGUCGAGUGACCCCGCGCCGAAAAUGUACCGGGGCUAAACAUAUUACCGAAACUGUGGAUGAACCUCUU
rnacentral:rRNA from 1 species